rnacentral:RNase_P_RNA from 1 species
GAGGCAGCCUGGGUAGUCGCGGGGGUCUCGCGAGACGGGGCCUUCGAGGAAAGUCCGGACACCGCAGAGCAGGGUGCUGGAAACGUCCAGCGGGGGAAACCCUAGGGAAAGCGCAACAGAAAACACACGGCACGCUGGUCUUCCGGCUGCAAAGGUGAAAAGGUGCGGUAAGAGCGCACCGGCGUCGUGGUGACACGGCGGCCUGGCAAGCCCCACCCGGUGCAAGGCCGAGUAUGGGGACGUCUGAGGGUUGCUCGCCCGAGUCCCCGGGUUGGCCGCAUGAGCCGGUCGGUAACGGUCGGCCACAGAUAGAUGACUACCCUCGACAGAAUCCGGCUUACAGGGCUGCUACCGCA